rnacentral:rRNA from 1 species
AGGACGAACGCUGGCGGCGUGCUUAACACAUGCAAGUCGAGCGGAAAGGCCCUUCGGGGUACUCGAGCGGCGAACGGGUGAGUAACACGUGAGCAACCUGCCCUUAGCUCCGGGAUAGCUCCGGGAAACCGGAAUUAAAUACCGGAUAUGACCUAGGCCGACAUCGGCUGUGGUGGAAAGUUUUUCGGCUGGGGAUGGACUCGCGGCCUAUCAGCUUGUUGGUGGGGUAAUGGCCUACCAAGGCGACGAC